rnacentral:rRNA from 1 species
AUUGAACGCUGGCGGCAGGCCUAACACAUGCAAGUCGAACGAGUGGCGGACGGGUGAGUAAUGUCUGGGAAUCUGCCUGAUGGAGGGGGAUAACGACUGGAAACGGUAGCUAAUACCGCAUAGCAUCGGAUGGGUCCAGAUGGGAUUAGCUAGUAGGUGGGGUAACGGCUCACGUAGGCGACGAUCCCUAGCUGGUCUGAGAGGAUGACCGGCCACACUGGAACUGAGACACGGUCCAGACUCCUACGUGAGGCAGCAGUGGGGAAUAUUGCACAAUGGACGAAAGCCUGAUGCAGCCAUGCCGCGUGUGUGAAGAAGGCCUUCGGGUUGUAAAGCACUUUUAGCGGGGAGGCGUUACCCGCAGAAGAAGCACCGGCUAACUCCGUGCCAGCAGCCGCGGUAAUUC